rnacentral:lncRNA from 1 species
GGGAGGAGGGCCAGGAUGUUUGUGAUACGAUCACAUUGUGCCGCUAAAUCCUGGCACACACCAUAGGAGCUGUGACUAAGAGGCACCAUUUCAGUAACCCAGCACGUGUAACUCUGGAGCCUACCGAGUUGUGCUGAGCUGUGAAAUGAGAUACAUCUCGUUUACUGUGAAGUAGUCAUCCUCGCUGUCAACAGGGUGCCUCGGUUCUCUAGUCAGUUAGAGUUAGAACUAGGGUUAUGGACGAUCCAUAUCUUGAUCUCAAGAGUCAAGACCCACGAGGCUCAUUUCCAGGUGUUCAUGACUCUGCCUCUUGCCUCUGGGACUCUAAUGGUCCAGCCUGGUCCUGACUGAGCCUGUGGAACCUGACCCUGAUACAAGUCUCACUCCCUACAAGCCAACACCAGGGGCUAGAACCUUCCUUUUGGAAUCAUUGUAGUACUUAAAAAAA